AUGCGCCUCCACUUCCACGACUGCUUCGUGCAGGGCUGCGACGCCUCGCUGCUGCUGGACACCUUCGACGGCAUGGAGACGGAGAAGGACGCGACUCCCAACAAGGGCUCCGCGCGCGGCUACAACGUCGUUGACGCCGCCAAGGCCGCCCUGGAGGCCGCCUGCCCCGGCGUCGUCUCCUGCGCCGACAUCCUCGCCAUCGCCGCCGAGAUCUCGGUCGAGCUGUCCGGAGGACCCGGAUGGGGUGUGUUGCUGGGGAGGCUAGACGGCUUCACUUCCAACUUUCAAGAAGCCGGGAACCUACCAGGACCAUUCGACGGCCUGCCGCUGCUGAAGCAAAAGUUCGUGAACCUCGGGCUUGACAACACCGACCUCGUCGCCCUCUCAGGCGCCCACACUUUCGGCCGUGUGCAAUGCCAGUUCGUCACGGACCGAUGCCCAAGGAAUGGCGUUGGAUCGUCCCUGAAUGACUUUGACCCGACGACCCCCGACAGGUUCGACAAGAACUACUUCACCAACCUCGAGGUGAAUCGUGGUUUCCUCCAGUCAGACCAGGAACUCAAGUCGGACCCCGGCGCGGCAGGGACGACGGCACCCAUCGUCGACCGGUUUGCGGGCAGCCAGGACGCCUUCUUCAAGGCCUUCGCGCAGUCGAUGAUCAAGAUGGGAAACCUGGGGCCGAUAAGGAACCCCUCCCAGGGAGAAGUCCGAAACCGUUGCGCGUUUGUCAAUCCGGAUUAG
rnacentral:rRNA from 1 species